UACGUGGGGUGCAAACGUUGCUCGGAAUUACUGGGCGUAAAGGGCUCGUAGGCGGCCAACUAAGUCGGAUGUGAAAUCCCCAGGCUUAACCUGGGAACUGCAUCCGAUACUGGAUGGCUUGAAUCCGGGAGAGGGAUGCAGAAUUCCAGGUGUAGCGGUGAAAUGCGUAGAUAUCUGGAGGAAUACCGGUGGCGAAGGCGGCAUCCUGGACCGGCAUUGACGCUGAGUGAGCGAAAGCCAGGGGAGCAAACGGG
rnacentral:rRNA from 1 species